GUAUGUAUGUGUAUGUAUAUAUUGUAACAGAUUGUUCGAUGGUCAAGAAGGAACUAAAAUCCUACUAUUGAAUCUUAGUAUUCAGUAGUAAACAUGCUGUAUGUGUCUGUCUAUAUGAGAGAGAGAUGAAUAAAAUGUGUGUUGUACACCUAUACCUACUGUUUUAUGGUUAUGGUUAUGAUUUAGCAGACACUUUUGUCCCAAGUAAAUUGUUAUUAUUAUAUUUUAUUAGACCUAAGGAGUACUCAUACUGUUACAAUCUGUGCAACAUUUUAUGUAUACCUAUUGGUAUUGCACUAAACUUUAAAUCUGUAUGCACUGGUAUGUAUAUUGUAUUCUUUUUUAUCUUUCUUUUUUUCUUUCUUUUUUUUUGAAGGAAUGACUGAUUUGGGGAAGAAAAGGAAGGCCCGAAUUGUGAAGAAGAUUUGGGUGGAAAACCAAAAAGUGAACCUUAUUCCUUAGUGUGUACCUUGGUGUCCUCCCAAUUUUUGAAGGAAUACGUGAUGGCCUUUCAAGGAAGUAAAACCUUGGUUCACAAGCUUCAUGACAAGCAACUUGAAGUGUUCAUCAACUUUCUUGCCUGCUUCAUCAAGCCUGAGCAUCUGAAGAUGUCGCCAAAGAAAUUGCUAGAAUUGGACUUGGCCAAUAACACACUUCACUCCCAGAUUUACGUUGGGAAAGUCGCAGAAGACCUGAUUGCAGCCCAUCCAAAGCAUCCGGUUAGUAUUUUAAAUAAAGUUAACUACUUUUUAAAUUUUCUUUCCUAUUUUAUCAUUAGCGGGUAGACUUCUGUUUGCUGAGCUGGUAUAGUCAUGCUGGGCAACAAUGUUAAAGGAAUAGUUCACCCAAAAAUGAAAAUUCUGUCAUUUUCUCUCCCUCAAGUUGUUCCAAACCUGUAUUAUUUCCUUUCUUCUGCUAAACACAAAAAAAGGUAUUUUAAAGAAGGUUGGUAAUUAAACAGUUGCUGGUCCCCAUUGACUUUAAGUAAUAUGAUCGAACAUGAUCUGAUAUGCUGAUAUGACUUGCCAUUGUGCUGCAGCCAUGAAACCUGAGUAUGAACUC
rnacentral:lncRNA from 1 species